UCCUAAGGCGAGCUCAGGGAGGACAGAAACCUCCCGCGGAGCAGAAGGGCAAAAGCUUGCUUGAUCUUGAUUUUCAGUAUGAAUACAGACAGUGAAAGCGGGGCCUCAC
rnacentral:rRNA from 1 species